AGUGAACGCUGGCGGUAGGCCUAACACAUGCAAGUCGAACGGCAGCACAGUAAGAGCUUGCUCUUACGGGUGGCGAGUGGCGGACGGGUGAGGAAUACAUCGGAAUCUACUUUUUCGUGGGGGAUAACGUAGGGAAACUUACGCUAAUACCGCAUACGACCUACGGGUGAAAGCAGGGGAUCUUCGGACCUUGCGCGAUUGAAUGAGCCGAUGUCGGAUUAGCUAGUUGGCGGGGUAAAGGCCCACCAAGGCGACGAUCCGUAGCUGGUCUGAGAGGAUGAGAGGCCACACGGAAACUGAACCGCGCACCGGCCCACUGCGGGACGGGGCAGUGGGAAUUGUGGGACAGGGGGGGGAACCCUGGCCCGACCAUACCGGGUGGGAGAAAGGGGCCUUGGGGUUGAGAUGCCCUUUUUUGGGGAAAAAAAAGCAGAAGUUUAUUACCCCGCUUUUCUGACGGUACCCAAAAAAUAAGCACCGGCUAACUUCGUG
rnacentral:rRNA from 1 species